AGCGGUUUAUAGCGUUAGAUUGCUAAUCUAUUAAAUCUAGUGAUUUCGUAGGUUCGAAUCCUAUCAC
rnacentral:tRNA from 14 species